UAAGACAGAGGGUGCAAACGUUGUUCGGAAUUACUGGGCGUAAAGCGCGUGUAGGCAGCUUGGAAAGUCGGAUGUGAAAGCCCUGGGCUUAACCCAGGAAGUGCACUCGAAACUUCCAAGCUUGAGUUCUGGAGAGGGAAGCGGAAUUCUCGGUGUAGAGGUGAAAUUCGUAGAUAUCGAGAGGAACACCGGUGGCGAAGGCGGCUUCCUGGACAGUGACUGACGCUGAGACGCGAAAGCGUGGGGAGCAAACAGGAUUAGAUACCCUGGUAGUCCACGCCGUAAACGAUGGGUGCUAGGUGUCGCGGGCUUUGACCCCUGCGGUGCCGUAGCUAACGCAUUAAGCACCCCGCCUGGGGAGUACGGCCGCAAGGCUA
rnacentral:rRNA from 1 species